ACUUGCCAGCAGUUUUCAGCUGACAUCGUGUUUGCACGAAGGCAGCACCACAACAGGCAUUCAGAGCUGAGGCUGGAUGAGUUCUGUCAUGUUUAUGAAGUCAUGAAAGAAUCUGGAUACACUACAGAAACCCUCAAUCAAAAGCUUUUUCAAGUCUCUUUCUAAUAUAAUCAUCCAGGCUUGCUCCACUAAACCAGAAUAGGCUGCUCAACUAUCUGGAUAAGAGGACUCACCACCUUGGAAUUAGAGCUGGGAAAUGUUUUUGGAAAAACAGAAGAGGUGCUGGAGGAGAAUAGUGUUGUCUCUCUGGCCUGGCAGGUCACAGCUGAAAUUAAUCAUGAGAGAUUUAGCACUGAAGUGGAGGAGAAAGCUGAAAAACUAGGAGAGGCACUGCUCGAACACUGGUGAGCCCAAUGUAUCUUUACAAAAAGAAAGGUGGAGGAUUUGCUCGGUUGUUUUUAAGGAACCAUGACUGAACAUAAAGGGAACAGGGAGAUCUGCUGCAAAUUGAAAAUACUGGAGACAGUAAAGUGUGUUGUGCAAGGGCUUCUGUUGGCCAGAAGAAGUGAAAUAACAGCUCACUUCCUAAAAUGGACAUAUCCCCACAUUUUGUUCCUGGCUGAGGAGAACAGUACUAUUUGCCAUAGAUCUGACAAGUACCAGGGCAUUUUGUACCCUAUAAAAUUCCUAUAACUUACCUGAAACUGCCAAUAAAUUGACUUAAACCUAAACAGUGUAUCUUCCUUGAAAAGAAGCCACUGUUCUGUGUUAUUUUUUUGUUUG